UUUCCGUAGGUGAACCUGCGGAAGGAUCACUAUUGUAUACCCGAGGUGCGAGGGCUGUCGCUGACCCGAAAGGUCGUGCACGCCCGAGUGCCCUCACACACAUCCAUCUCACCCCUAUGUGCACCACCGCGUGGGUCCCCCUUUGGCUUGUUCGGAGGGGGGCUUACGUUUUCACACAAACUUUGUAUGCAGUGUAGAAUGUAUUUUUUGUUUUUGCGAUCACGCAAUCAAUACAACUUUCAACAACGGAUCUCUUGGCUCUC
rnacentral:misc_RNA from 1 species